CACGUAGGGCGCAAGCGUUGUCCGGAAUUAUUGGGCGUAAAGAGCUCGUAGGCGGUCUGUCGCGUCGGUCGUGAAAACUUGGGGCUUAACCCUGAGCUUGCGGUCGAUACGGGCAUGACUGGAGUUCGGCAGGGGAGACUGGAAUUCCUGGUGUAGCGGUGAAAUGUGCAGAUAUCAGGAGGAACACCGGUGGCGAAGGCGGGUCUCUGGGCCGAUACUGACGCUGAGGAGCGAAAGCGUGGGGAGCGAACAGG
rnacentral:rRNA from 1 species